rnacentral:rRNA from 1 species
GACGAACGCUGGCGGCGUGCCUAAUACAUGCAAGUCGAACGAAGCUGUUUUAACUGGUGCUUGCACCGACUUAAACAACUGAGUGGCGAACGGGUGAGUAACACGUGGGUAACCUGCCCCAAAGCGGGGGAUAACAUUUGGAAACAGAUGCUAAUACCGCAUAACCACAGAAACCACAUGGUUUCUGUGUCAAAGAUGGUUUCGGCUAUCACUUCGGGAUGGACCCGCGGCGUAUUAGCUAGUUGGUAAGGUAAUGGCUUACCAAGGCAAUGAUACGUAGCCGAACUGAGAGGUUGAUCGGCAACAUUGGGACUGAGACACGGCCCAAACUCCUACGGGAAGCAGCAGUAGGGAAUCUUCCACAAUGGACGAAAGUCUGAUGGAGCAACGCCGCGUGAGUGAAGAAGGUUUUCGGAUCGUAAAACUCUGUUGUCAGAGAAGAACGUGUGCGAGAGUAACUGCUCGUGCAGUGACGGUAUCUGGCCAGAAAGCCACGGCUAACUACGUGCCAGCCGCCGCAGUAA